GAACGCACAUUGCGCCCGCUGGUAUUCCGGCGGGCAUGCCUGUUCGAGCGUCAUUUCAACCCUCAAGCCCCCGGGUUUGGUGUUGGGGAUCGGCUCUGCCUUCUGGCGGUGCCGCCCCCGAAAUACAUUGGCGGUCUCGCUGCAGCCUCCAUUGCGUAGUAGCUAACACCUCGCAACUGGAACGCGGCGCGGCCAUGCCGUAAAACCCCAACUUCUGAAUGUUGACCUCGGAUCAGGUAGGAAUACCCGCUGAACUUAAG
rnacentral:misc_RNA from 1 species